rnacentral:rRNA from 1 species
GACGUAGGGUCCAAGCGUUGUCCGGAUUUACUGGGCGUAAAGAGCGCGUAGGCGGUCUUGUAAGUGUGAAGUGAAAUCUCCAGGGCUCAACCCGGAAACUGCUUUGCAUACUGCAGGACUAGAGGGAUGCAGAGGUUUGUGGAAUUCCUGGUGUAGCGGUGAAAUGCGUUGAUAUCAGGAGGAACACCCAUGGCGAAGGCAGCAAACUGGGCAUCAUCUGACGCUGAGGCGCGAAAGCGUGGGUAGCAAACAGG